rnacentral:rRNA from 1 species
ACGCCUUAUACAUGCAAGUCGAACGCAGUAGCAAUACUGAGUGGCAGACGGGUGAGUAUAAUGUGGGGAUCUGCCUUAUGGUUAGGAAUAACACGAGGAAACUUGUGCUAAUACCAAAUAAGCCCUUACGGGGAAAGUUUUAUACGCCAUUAGAUGAACCCACACUUGAUUAGCUAGUUGGUAAGGUAAAAGCUUACCAAGGCGAUGAUCAAUAGCUGUUCUUAGAGGAAGACCAGCCACAUUGGGACUGAGACACGGCCCAGACUCCUACGGGAGGCAGCAGUAAGGAAUCUUGCACAAUGGGGGAAACCCUGAUGCAGCGAUGCCGCGUGAGUGAAGAAGGCCUUUGGGUUGUAAAACUCUUUCGUCGGGGAAGAAAAUGACUGUACCCGAAUAAG